UACGGGGGGAGCAAGCGUUGUUCGGAUUUACUGGGCGUAAAGGGCGCGUAGGCGGCCAACUAAGUCCGACGUGAAAUCCCAAGGCUUAACCUUGGAACUGCGUCGGAUACUGGAUGGCUUGAAUUCGGGAGAGGGAUGCAGAAUUCCAGGUGUAGCGGUGAAAUGCGUAGAUAUCUGGAGGAAUACCGGUGGCGAAGGCGGCAUCCUGGACCGACAUUGACGCUGAAAACCGAAAGCUAGGGGAGCAAACGGG
rnacentral:rRNA from 1 species